AUUGAACGCUGGCGGCAGGCUUAACACAUGCAAGUCGAACGAGUCGGGGACGGGUGGGUAAUGCAUGGGCAUGUGGCUUAUGGAGGGGGAUAACUACGGGAAACUGUAGCUAAUACCGCGUACCAUAGGAUGAGCCCAAGUGGGAUUAGGUAGUUGGUGAGGUAAAGGCUCACCAAGCCGACGAUCUCUAGCUGGUCUGAGAGGAUGACCAGCCACACUGGGACUGAGACACGGUCCAGACUCCUACGGGAGGCAGCAGUGGGGAAUAUUGGGCAAUGGGCGCAACCUGAUGCAGCCAUGCCGCGUGAAUGAAGAAGGCCUUCGGGUUGUAAAGUUCUUUCGGUAGCGAGGCGUUACCUACAGAAGAAGCACCGGCUAACUCCGUGCCAGCAGCCGCGGUAAUUC
rnacentral:rRNA from 1 species